rnacentral:rRNA from 2 species
CUUUAACACUGAGGCGUGACGACGAGGCACUACGGUGCUGAAGCAACAAAUGCCCUGCUUCCAGGAAAAGCCUCUAAGCAUCAGGUAACAUCAAAUCGUACCCCAAACCGACACAGGUGGUCAGGUAGAGAAUACCAAGGCGCUUGAGAGAACUCGGGUGAAGGAACUAGGCAAAAUGGUGCCGUAACUUCGGGAGAAGGCACGCUGACACGUAGGUGAAGUGAUUUACUCAUGGAGCUGAAGUCAGUCGAAGAUACCAGCUGGCUGCAACUGUUUAUUAAAAACACAGCACUGUGCAAACACGAAAGUGGACGUAUACGGUGUGACGCCUGCCCGGUGCCGGAAGGUUAAUUGAUGGGGUCAGCGCAAGCGAAGCUCCUGAUCGAAGCCCCGGUAAACGGCGGCCGUAACUAUAACGGUCCUAAGGUAGCGAAAUUCCUUGUCGGGUAAGUUCCGACCUGCACGAAUGGCGUAAUGAUGGCCAGGCUGUCUCCACCCGAGACUCAGUGAAAUUGAACUCGCUGUGAAGAUGCAGUGUACCCGCGGCAAGACGGAAAGACCCCGUGAACCUUUACUAUAGCUUGACACUGAACAUUGAGCCUUGAUGUGUAGGAUAGGUGGGAGGCUUUGAAGUGUGGACGCCAGUCUGCAUGGAGCCGACCUUGAAAUACCACCCUUUAAUGUUUGAUGUUCUAACGUGGACCCGUUACCCGGGUUGCGGACAGUGUCUGGUGGGUAGUUUGACUGGGGCGGUCUCCUCCUAAAGAGUAACGGAGGAGCACGAAGGUUGGCUAAUCCUGGUCGGACAUCAGGAGGUUAGUGCAAUGGCAUAAGCCAGCUUGACUGCGAGCGUGACGGCGCGAGCAGGUGCGAAAGCAGGUCAUAGUGAUCCGGUGGUUCUGAAUGGAAGGGCCAUCGCUCAACGGAUAAAAGGUACUCCGGGGAUAACAGGCUGAUACCGCCCAAGAGUUCAUAUCGACGGCGGUGUUUGGCACCUCGAUGUCGGCUCAUCACAUCCUGGGGCUGAAGUAGGUCCCAAGGGUAUGGCUGUUCGCCAUUUAAAGUGGUACGCGAGCUGGGUUUAGAACGUCGUGAGACAGUUCGGUCCCUAUCUGCCGUGGGCGCUGGAGAACUGAGGGGGGCUGCUCCUAGUACGAGAGGACCGGAGUGGACGCAUCACUGGUGUUCGGGUUGUCAUGCCAAUGGCACUGCCCGGUAGCUAAAUGCGGAAGAGAUAAGUGCUGAAAGCAUCUAAGCACGAAACUUGCCCCGAGAUGAGUUCUCCCUGAGACUUAGAGUCUCCUGAAGGAACGUUGAAGACGACGACGUUGAUAGGCCGGGUGUGUAAGCGCAGCGAUGCGUUGAGCUAACCGGUACUAAUGAACCGUGAGGCUUAACC